ACCUGGCUGGCUCAAUCGGAAGAGUGUGAGACUUGAACUCAGGUUGUGAGUUUGAGACCCACGUUGGGUG
rnacentral:tRNA from 1 species